rnacentral:lncRNA from 1 species
GAAAUAAAAGUGAAAAAGUUGGGUACACAUCAUCUUUAUUUAUGCAUGUACUAAUUUACAAAAACUUAUUAAUCAAAAGAACAACAAUUCUUUUUACAUAACCAUCAAUUUGGGAGGUGAUGUACAGGAAGCAUGAACACCAAAGUACAUAUGGAAUCAUAUAUAAGAUUGUACAAUAUUCAAACCAUUAACACACGCAUCAGACUGCACUGAUUUGAUAGUAUUCAACAUGGGCCCUCCAAAUCCCCUUCCUGACAGCGUGGUUUUGCUCCAACGCAGCAGACCUACAAUUGAGUAGAGCUCUGUAAGACGUUGCUCAUAGGAGAUGUGCCUAAAGAUGACAUGCUACUCACAUCAGCUUAUUUCAGUGCUCCACGUUUAUCAGAAAACUACAAAUAAGUAUUGUCUAGAAUAUAUGUAAUUAGCUAGUACAACUACAUCCAGUCGUCAUCAUUACACAUAAUUGCACCAAGAAAUAGGUUUCUAAUCCAUCUAUGAGGUUGCACGCUCUCUGAAUCUCUAAACUCGCAUAUCUCUGGACAUGCACUACUUGACAAUAACCUACUGCACCUGGGCUGCAAUUUCGACCUCACCAGAAACCUUGUCCACUGGCGCAGUGGGCUAUGGGCGACCAACAGAAUGCUGCCUCUUAGAACUGCAGCUGCGGACAUAGAUAAGCAGUAGAUCAUGG